UGUAAACAUCCCCGACUGGAAGCUGUAAAACAGCAGCUCCAGCUUUCAGUCCGAUGUUUGCG
rnacentral:pre_miRNA from 13 species